rnacentral:rRNA from 1 species
UAGGCAAAUCCGCUUUGAUAAUGCUGGGAUGUGAUGGGGAGCGAAAUUUAGUAGCGAAGUAGCUGAUUUCACACUGUCAAGAAAAGUCUCUAUCGAGGUUAAAGGUACCCGUACCGCAAACCGACACAGGUGGGUGAGGAGAGUAUCCUAAGGCCAGCGAGAGAACUGUUGUUAAGGAACUCGGCAAAAUGACCCCGUAACUUAGGGAUAAGGGGUGCCACCAUCAGGUGGCCGCAGAGAAUAGGCCCAAGCGACUGUUUACCAAAAACAUAGGUUUCUGCUAAGUCGCAAGACGAUGUAUAGGAGCUGACGCCUGCCCGGUGCUGGAAGGUUAAGGGGAUCUGUUAGAGCAAUCGAAGCAGUGAACUUAAGCCCCAGUAAACGGCGGCCGUAACUAUAACGGUCCUAAGGUAGCGAAAUUCCUUGUCGGGUAAGUUCCGACCCGCACGAAAGGCGUAACGAUUUGGGCACUGUCUCAACAACAGACUCGGUGAAAUUGUAAUUCCGGUGAAGAUGCCGGAUACCUGCGACAGGACGGAAAGACCCCAUGGAGCUUUACUGUAGCUUGACAUUGGGUCUUGGUACUACAUGUACAGGAUAGGUGGGAGGCUUUGAAACCAGGACGCCAGUUUUGGCGGAGCCAUCCUUGGGAUACCACCCUUGUA